CGCGUAGGCGGCCGCGUAAGUCAGAUGUGAAAGCCCGGGGCUCAACCCCGGAAGUGCAUUUGAUACUGCAUGGCUUGAGUAUGGGAGAGGGAAGUGGAAUUCCUGGUGUAGAGGUGAAAUUCGUAGAUAUCAGGAGGAACACCGGUGGCGAAGGCGACUUCCUGGACCAAUACUGACGCUGAGGCGCGAAGGCGUGGGUAGCAAACA
rnacentral:rRNA from 1 species